AUCUGCGCUUCCUCUAAUGCGUAUCAUUCGAAUUUAAUCCUUAUCGAAGCUGGAGGAUGGGGAUAGCAUCAAUGAACGUCGAAAAGAGGGAGAAUAGGGGUCAAAGUCAAACGGUAACGAAGCUUGGCUCAGUUGUCACGACAUCGCUGUACUAGCCGGCCGCAUUCAGCCGUUUCUGCAAUUACUGUCAACUCUUUCGACGCUGCAACAGUUGAAGUGCAGAAUCGAGAUUCAACGAAAAUUCUAAAUUCAUCAUCGUCCAACAACAUUAUCGUAACAUACACUCGUCACAUUUUUC